AUCACACAAUCAAAGACAUCAGCGGCGCUUCCUUUGCCGGCUUCUACUACAUUUGCUUCCAGAAGUCGGCGGCAUCCAUAGAGGGCUAUUAUUAUCACCGGAGCUCAGAAUGGUAUCAGUCAUUAAACCUGACUCUACGUCCCAGAACACAGCGCACCAAUCUAUGAAUUCCGGUUGACAGAAGCCCGACCUCAGCGCCACACAGACAGGACGGAGCUGUCCGCCCCGAGCUGGGCUGCUUUCUUCUGUGACAGAGAGACUCUUAAGAAGAAUGUACGAGUGUUUAAAGCAAUGAUGCGUGCAGCGGCGCCCCCUCUCUGUGCGCAGUUUUUAUUUUAAUCUGCUCGUUUUUCUUGUUUUUUGUUUUUUGUUUUUUUUUUCCUGCUUGACAUUACUGUUCCAGCUUUCUCCCCUCCCCUGCUGCCAGCAACAUGGAUACCGUACCGAAACCUAAUCUACCCUCCUACCCCCUCCUGUCCCUGAACAUGGAUUCUUGCAACCCCCAAGCGUGGUUCUGAGGAACAGGCAGUCUCCCCCUCGUUAGACAGGGGUCUGUGCAGAACAUACCUGAGCUACACACUCCAGCCAUGGGGGCUACCCCUCCCCCACUCAUAUCCCUAAUAUCUUACAAAGAUUAGUAAAUCCUCCCCCCCCCCCCCCCCCCAAUACCAAUGUCAAAAGGAAAGCUUAUUCCGGACUGCAAUACAUUUCCCCAUUUUCACAUUGAAAAUGGCGAAUGUCAGAUUUUUUUCUAUAUCUAUAAAUAUAUAUUCUAAAUGCACAUAUAUUUAAUCAGAAGUAUAGAUCUAUGGAUGCCUCCUGAGCGCAGAGGGAGCUGCCGAAGAUUCAGUGAUGUAUUCUGCGGCGGCCUAUUUUUCCAGGGUAUACGUGACGGGUGAUGGAAAUGCGUUGCACCCCCUGAUAAUUCAGUCUCAUCAAUGAAUCCCAUCCAUCCUGCUUCUCGAGGGUCUAGUGCAAAGGAGGGAACAGCGCCAUCUGCUGUCAGACUGUGCUCACCACAGGCAGCCGAAGAGUCCCUGACCAGCGGCGAGGCGGACUGUUAGCGCAAGCGACCGGUUUUGCAAAGAGCCGCUUGGAGUUGUUGUCGUAUUUGCUAUGUGUCAUGGAUUAAAGCGUGGCUGGCAUUUCUCUCUGAUUUCUGCAAAAUCUCCAGACGUCUAUCGCACAGUCGCCGAGAAACACGUUCAUCCUUUUUUCUUUUUUUUUUUUUUUCCAGUUAAAGAAAAACUCUUGCUGUUACACUGCUGAUGUGUUGCUUCAAUGUUUUCAUUUAUCUGCAAACAAAAAAACACAGAAGUUUGACUGGAUUGAGAGGCCCAAGUCUGGAUCUUACACUCCAGCGUACUGUCGGGGUUAAUCUAGAGAGGAUUGAGAUUCAGGAGGGGCUAGAGAAGCCUGACCUGAGAGGGGUUGCUUGGUUUCUGGGGGAAAAAAAAACAGAAACCCCUUUAAAUGACAUGGCGGGUCUUGCGGUGCCCCAUUUCCUCAGGUUACGUGGUGGCAUUGCGCCGAUCGGUGCCAGUGCUGCUCAAAGGGAUACAAUGUGGACAUAUUUUAAUUGCUACAACUCUCCUAAGGCCGUGUUCACAUGGGGAGUUUGGUGCAUUUCCUGCACUGAUAUCCAUGUGGAAUCUGUCUCCUAAUAUUUUAAUGGGAAUUUAUAUGGACUUGGGUAAUCUGCAUCGUGGAAAAAAAAACACACAGGUUAAUUCUUGGAGCAGAUUCUGCAUGGAACUCAAUGGGAGGUGUCAAAACCACAGGAUCAGAGAAAAAUAAAAAUCAGAAACGCGUGCAAAUUU